rnacentral:rRNA from 1 species
UAAGGAAUAUUGGUCAAUGGACGCAAGUCUGAACCAGCCAUGCCGCGUGGAGGAUGAAUGCCCUCUGGGUUGUAAACUCCUUUUAUCUGGGAAGAAACCCGAGAAUUCUUUUUCGGUUGACGGUACCAGAGGAAUAAGCACCGGCUAACUCCGUGCCAGCAGCCGCGGUAAUACGGAGGGUGCAAGCGUUAUCCGGAUUCACUGGGUUUAAAGGGUGCGUAGGUGGGCAGGUAAGUCAGUGGUGAAAUCUUUGGGCUUAACCCGAAAACUGCCAUUGAUACUAUCUGUCUUGAAUGUUGUGGAGGUGAGCGGAAUAUGUCAUGUAGCGGUGAAAUGCUUAGAUAUGACAUAGAACAUCGAUUGCGAAGGCAGCUCGCUACGCAAAUAUUGACACUGAGGCACGAAAGCGUGGGGAUCAAACAGGAUUAGAUACCCGUGUAGUCC